UACGAAGGGGGCUAGCGUUGCUCGGAAUCACUGGGCGGUAAAGCGCACGUAGGCGGACUCUUAAGUCGGUGGUGAAAUCCUGGAGCUCAACUCCAGAACUGCCUUCGAUACUGAGAGUCUUGAGUCCGGGAGAGGUGAGUGGAACUGCGAGUGUAGAGGUGAAAUUCGUAGAUAUUCGCAAGAACACCAGUGGCGAAGGCGGACUC
rnacentral:rRNA from 1 species